rnacentral:lncRNA from 1 species
AGAAGCAGAGAGCCUUGGGGAAAAAACAGAGAGCACCGCUGCCCUUGCAGCGUGUGCGCCAGAGAAGAAAAUAAAAGCAGCUGCCUUUGUGCAGCGAAAGAGGGAAAGCGAAGCAAAAGGGAAGAAGCAGCAGAAGGCUGCUUUGCGGCAGCAGAAACCGAGGAAGGACGUGAUUUUGGGGGAAUUAGCAAGCUGCCUUGCGCAGCUUGAGCCUCGGGGAAAAAGAGGUCAGAGUGCGGCAGCAGAAGAAAAAUAAAAGGGUUG